GAUUCGCGUUGGAUCCGACAGAAAGCGGGCGCUCCACAUAUUUUUUUGAAAUCGUCGGUGGGUUAUUUUUUCCCGUCAUUUCAGGAACUGUUAACUCCACGACUUUCCAUUCAAGGCUGCUGGAUUAAUCAUACUGCAGUUCUUCUCUAUACGAAUAUAGAUCAUAUUGGUGGCCAUGGAAAAUGGGUCUGACCCAUACCCACUUUCAAUUCAUUUUGUACCAUUCAUGUAUUCACAUUUCUUUCCAUCUUUCAUUCUUUGUUUCUCCGUCAAUGCAGGCUUCAAAGUGCCUCCACUUUGUUAUACUUAUCAAUUUUUACAGUCUCCGUUCUUGAUUUUAAACUUUGUGCAGACAUCAUAUCACCGUCACUGUUUGUAUCGUUCCAUCUAUGGACCACGGAGUGCAUUCUAAGUGUUAGGAAUUCUACUACUGCGCCCAUUAUUUCGUUGGAUUCGCUUUCUGCUGAUUCACAGGAUUCAGCAUUUAAUAGUUUUCAUGGGAGAAAAAAUUUCAACACCCAGGUUUAAGUCUGGUGUCACACAAACCAUCAGGUGCGAUUGAUAAUGCUUAAUUUCUCUGCAACACGUUCAAGUCAAUUUUGUUGUAAUAUUUUACGCCAUUGCAAAGGAGGCUCCACGGAGCUACAAGGUCACCUUUUUCAGUUGUAAGGGACACAGUGAGGAAGACUACAUCCCUUGCAAAGUUGCCUCCAUUUCAAUUACAAUCCUCUACAAUCUCUUCCGGUUUUAAGUCUCAUUCAUCCGGCGAGUGUGAUAUUUUAAAGGACCCUAUUUUAGGACAUUUAUAUUUUUACUGUUUUGUUGAUCAUUUUUUUGCACAUAUUGUUUCAAUUCAUAUUAUUUAAUAUUAGGUAUCAUUGGCCUAUUGUGAGCCACGUAUAAAUUAGUUGUUAAUGAAGAAAAGAUUUUCAUAAAGAAACUCUAUUUUGUUGCUGAUGUGUGUAAAAGCAAAUAAGUUAAUGCGGGGUUCUAGGAUUUCUAUUGGUCUAUUUUUUUAAACGCAGAUUCUUUGCUUUCUACAGUGAAACAUAUAAGUCCUGACAAUAAAUAUCGCUGGGUAGGUACCAGCAGAAUCGUGUUUUUUGAUGUGGUUGAAUUACAGCAAUGACUUUGUUGCAGAAUGCUUUGAAACUGACAUUUUAUAUUGCUACAGAUGGGGCUAUGCUCUAAAGCAGAAGUCUUGGCAAGAUUCAAGAUGAACUUGAUGUGGGAAUCUUUUAAAAUACUGAACUUGAUGAACUUGAUUCCAAGUGUGGCGUUAUGACAUGUAUACUACCAUAACUGUUAAUUCAAGUACCAAACUGGAUUCAAAUUGUAAAAUCAUAUAAAGGAUUCAAGGAUUCCGCAUUGGCUAUUAGUGAAGUUUCGGGCAAUGCAUUAUAGAAGAUUUAUCAGGUUCAUAGUUUUUAAGAUUUAUCAGGUUAGAUCUAUCAUAAUAGUUGCUGAGGAAUGUGCUGGGCGAAAACUUGCUAGCCUAAAGGUUCUCAAUUCUUACCGGGUUAAUGAGAAUUGGACAAUUCAUGGGCUUUGCUUGGAAAGUCAUAAAUUAAACAAACCCGGAGUUCUUGAAGAUUCGUUGAAUGAACUGCUAAGGGUUUAAUUACCAUUAAUGUGUCUCAUACUUUCAGCCUGUGACAGGCCAACCUUGCAUUUGCUGCCACUAGGGAUAGAAAGGUGAUUGGAAAGAUUCUAUUUAUAAAAAUUGGAUCAAAGUUUUCACCCUGCCACAAGAGUUUCUCUACAGAUGCUUUCAACAGACAUGUCAAAACAUAACCUCCAAAGUACUGUUGAUAGAGUUCCUGCUGUCCUGUAGUUGGAAAAAGAAAUCAGGGUGCCGCAUGCUUUCCAUGUUGUUGACGUGGACGAGGUUUCAUGUCAAUAUUUUGCACAUUAAGUAUAUUGCAAAUUUUUUUGACCCGACUGGACUACCAAAUAUCAUAAAAGUGUGGCAGCUAAGAACUGAAUUUUGUAAGACUCCGGAAAUUGUCUCCAGUUAUGUGUGGUUGAUAAUACCAUUUUAUUCGCUCCGUUCUAUGGCUAUAGUUAUUUUUUUUAAA